CAAUCGGCCCUUUUCAGGGCUAUCAAACUAUUGAUUAGCAAUGGAA
rfam:Aedes aegypti strain Liverpool supercont1.375 genomic scaffold, whole genome shotgun sequence.